GAGGGCGGCGGAAGUGGAAAUGCGGGGCGGGGCCAGAUCCCUAGGCCGCGGCGGGAGCUGUAGUUCUCCUGCUGGUUGCUGCUUCAGAACGUCUGCCGCCUGAGGGGGACGCUGGUUCGCUGUGUGCUGGCCCCGAGUCGCGUUGUCCCUGGAGGAUAGUGGAGAGCGACUGGGUCGUGGUCCUCCUGGCUUUCUUACCGUCACUUUUGUUCUUUACGUCCUGUCUCCGGUUUAGCACCGUGAGGUGCGGCAGGGGUUACUAUUACAGUUAGCCUUAUCAUCCCUCCGGCAUUUUGUGUGAUAAACACUCUGCAGCCACUUCUGCUGACCGAGACAAGUCAAUUUUUGGUCUUUGCGCCUUUGCUAAGAUCCUUUGCGGUGUCUCUCACGUGUGGCGUCUUAGCCGUGUGUGGAAGUCCUACCCGUUCAUAGAACUCGGUUCAGAGGCUCCUGUGACUCCUGGACUCAACCUUUUCAGCUGGAACCGUUCCGUCCUCCCAGUGCCCGCUGGCUGCUCGCACCUGGCUUUAGUCUGGUUUCUUUCUGCUUUGAUUCCUCGUUGCAUUUGCGUGUGCCUCCCAACGUCUUCUCGGAUGGCGACUGGAUUUUGAUUCCUCUUUGUGUUCACCAGAGCUAGAACAGCGUUUUGAAUCGAAUAAUAAUAGAAGCUGACACUGUGAGAAACCCGGCACUGUUGUACGUGUUUUAAACGAGUAUCAGUUCACUUCACCUUCACAACCAGCUUACUGAGGAAGGGAGAGGUUCAGACCUCUGAAGAAAGGAUGUGGUUCCUGCCACAGGAACAUGCAGCCCACUGAUGAGUUGCUUCUUUCUUUUAAACUUCUGGCCAUCAUGGUGUAGCUGGGACUGAAUUUAUUUUCUCAUCUGAAACAACUGGAAAACGAAAAUAUAUGAAACAGCAGUUUUCAGAUACUGGACAACAGGCAGUACAGGACAGUGAUUCCUGAGAGAAGGAAAAUAAGUAGACAAAGGCUGAGAAGAAAUGGCUAAACAUUUGGGGAAAGGAUGAGGAGAAAUCAAAUACAAGGAGGAAAAAGGGAAGCAAGAGCAAGAAAAUACUUUUCACAAAACAAGAUACGAAGAGUAUUUGGGAUUUAAGACCAAAUGAAGAUUAUGAGUUCAAAUGGAAUUCUUGAGACUUGUUCUCCCAUUUGUGGCAUCGCCUGAACCCUGGCAGUCUCACCUGGAGGUACACACAUCCCGACCCUGACACUGCCAUGCUGUACUCCCCUGGAACCUCUGGCAAAGCGACCUCCUGCAGCAAUAGGCGAUUGCCUUCAUCUACUUGGAAUUCUUCAGAGAAGGUCUCUGAAGACUUGAUGGUGACUGUAGCCGCUUUCUCCCUUUUAGUGAAAGUUGCUGCUCCAUACUUGGAGAGCGCUUGCAGAGCUACCACUGUAUCCUGCAAAAAGACGGGUUCAGAAAGCACAGGAGAGGAAGACACAGUGAGAUUCUUCAUUCUUUGCUACUGGGAUGGCCAAGAAGGCAGGAGAGACCUCCAGCUGCACGCUGACCUGUCCCCCAUUCCCACCCACAAAUUUGAGAAAGAACACAGGGAAAAGGAAGAAGAAUUACCUCAAAGAUACUGUAAACAUCAUCAUCACUCAGGACCUGCUUUGGUGUGUAAAUGAUUCCAUUGUGAGUUAUAUCUUCUGCAUUGAUGCAUUCUUCCCCAUCUUCAUUCAUGGGACCUCCAUAUCUAACACUAAGGACGCUCUUUACUGGUAGCAAAUCAUAGACCUGCAAAAUAGACAGAACAAAGGAAAAACUCUUAUUUAUUUUAUUUUAUUUUAUUUUGAGUGUGAUAAUGUUCAAUCUGGAGUUUAAGAGAUCACGGUGCUUAUUUAACACUCCCAUACCAACAUUAUAAAAAGUGACACAGAAAUCAUGGGGAGAUAUUAAGGGUUAUGGAUCCUAAUGCUCUUCUUGUACAAAAGAAAUUAAUACAUAAGAUAUCAAAUUAAUUGAUCAAAGACUCACAGCGCAUUUUGGCUGAGUAAGUAUAAAACUCAAGUCUCUUUGUCUCCCAGCCCAAACGCCUACUUUUAAAAGAAAGCAAAAAUGUGGACAGUACAGAGAAACAUCAUGAAAGAAUAAAAGUCAUUCACACCCAUCACCCAGUAACAACCUCUGUAAAUACUUAAUUCAUUCCCUUUUCCCAUUUUAUAUGAUUAAGUUCUUACCAAGUUUUUUUUUUUAAGUCUACUAUUUUAAGACCAAUUUUAACUUGGAAAAAAACUAGGUACAGGGGUAACCUAGAAAUAAAUCCAUUCCAGUUCAGUUUUCACCCAGAGCCUAGCAUAAGGCUACCUGCUCAGUCAUAUAGUGUUCAUUAAACACACAGUGACUCCAUGCGGACCUGCUGUCAUCUCUUAUCUAAGCUACUACAAUAGCCUCCUAACUGUUUUCAUUCUUGCUCCCAUACUCUGAGUGGCAAACAAGAUCUUCUUACCAAAUAAAUCUAAAUCACUAAAUCACUCUCCUGCUUAAAACUCCUCAGUGAUUUACCACUACAUUUGCUGUCAACUCCUAACUCCACUGCAAGCUCACAGUACUUGUCAUGAUCUUCUUUACUUUCCAUCCCACCUACCACCUCUACCAUCCUCUUCUCUCACCAUUACGUAUAAGGUCAUUACCUUUUCCUCUUUGAACACUGCAGAUUUAUUCUGACCGCAAGACCUACAGGCACUCUGCUUUCAUUCUUUGUAAUGCCUGCCCCUACCCCCCAUUAUCUGACAAUCUAAGAAGACACCACUAAUGACUAUAUCAAAAAUUGUUCAACUCUUUUCUUUAGCUCAACAUCCUGUUUAUUCCUUAAAUGAUACUUAUCAAAAACUAGAACUAUUAUAUGUUUAUAUGUUUUUGUUGCUUGCUUGUUUAGUAACUCACAAGACUAUACGUCUAAAAUGGUCAAAGACCACAUCUGAUUGUUCACCAUAAAAACUCCUAUUCCUGGAGCAGUAUCCAUCCCGUAAUCCAGACGCAGGGGAUAUUCGUUAAAUAAAUAAAUGGACAAUGAAGAUUGUAAACUAUUGGGCCCUUUUGGAAGUUCUUCAUUAUAAGAAACAUCUUUAAAAGACAAGUUUGGUUGGAAACUCUCUUUCUUCCGUACUUAAAACCAAUGAGUAAGUGCCUGUUUUUUUAGAGAAGACUUAAAAACCUGGCAUUUCACAUACUAUCUUGGAUUGUGGUGUGUUAGACAUGGCAUUGAAUAAAAUUUGGUUCAAAUCCCACCUUUCAAAUAUAAUUUGGGGGCUUCCCUGGUGGCGCAGUGGUUGAGAGUGCGCCUGCCGAUGCAGGGGACACGGGUUUGUGCCCUGGUCCGGGAAGAUCCCACAUGCCGCGGUGCGGCUGGGCCCGUGAGUCAUGGCCGCUGAGCAUGCGCGUCCGGAGCCUGUGCUCCGCGGCGGGAGAGGCCACAGCAGUGAGAGGCCCGUGUACCGUAAAAAAAAAAAAAAAAAAAAAAAAAAAAAUAUAUAUAUAUAUAUAUAUAUAUAUAUAUAGUUUUGGCAUGUUCUUUCUAUAGUUGCUUAAUUUAUGCUGGCUGUGUUUUCUUCAUUCAUAAAAUUAAGGUAAUAAUAUCCACGUUAAGGAAUUAUUAUUCAUUUAUUCGUUCAUUAAAAAUGUGUUGAGGGACUUCCCUGGUGGUCCAGUGGUUAGGACUCCACACUCUCACUACCGAGUGCGUGGGUUCAAUCCCUGGUCAGGGAACUAGGAUCCCGCAAGCCAUGCAGUGUGGCCCUCCCCCACUGCCAAAAAACAAAAAAAAGAAAUGUCUUUUACAUGUAAGGACUGUGCUAGGCACAGGGAAUGUAGUAGUGAACGAGACUGCUCACUCUUUGAUAUGUUAUAGCAGAGAAUGAAGUAAGAUGAUCUGUGUGAAGCACCCUGUGCAAUGUCUUUUUUGGAACUGAAUUGAAUCCAAAUUCAUAUGUGACUUACUACACUAUGCCUGACACUGUGAAGAACUUGUCCUUUGCAGUUAUAACUUCCAGCUUCCAAAAAUGGUCAUAUCAUGUGUGCAUUUUCUGAUAUGCAAGACUGAAAUGGGACUCACUGACUGAGGUGAGACCUCAGCUUCAGGCUUCAUUAGCAGGACACUCUGGUCCACUGCACGGAGGGCACAGAGGGAGUAAGCAGCGGCUGUGACCUUCAGGUUGAUAUCUGAGGCUGGCAGUCCCCGGGCUGAAGAGAAGUUCAAAUUUACCUGUAAAGAGGAUAUGAUUAUAGCCACACAUUUUCUAAUUGUUACAAUCUUAAAACUCUCUCCUACCCCAGGGUAGGACUAGUCCUUUCCACACUUCCUUUCUCUUCAUCCAUGUUAGAGAAGGGUUAAGAGGUGAAUCUGCCUGACGACUACCAGUUAACCAUCUCUGGAAUAAACUGGAAAUGUGGUUCGAUUAACUCAGGUUUCCCACUCUCUUUAUAACCAGUGAAAUAUAAAUUGAUGUUGAUCACAGUAAAAGAGAAUCUUGAGUGGGAAUUGGAAUGCACACGCUAACAAAGAUACAUACCUAUCUCCAUGCAGUGUUUUUGUGAUGAAUGUGUGCAGUUUGCACGGGGCUGUGAAAAAUCCUAUUCCACCUCUAAGACCAGCCAACGAAGUCUCCUUCAGUUGGCCCUCUUAAUCACCUGGCAUUCUAUAGCUGUGUAGUACUGUUUAUCAGGAUCAGGAAUUUACUCAUUAAUUUAAAAAACUAAACAUCUAAUAUGCAUCCUAAGAGUUAAUUCAUUGACAAUAUUCAAAGGACUGUGAAUAAAGAAUGAGAACUACAAAAUAAUGAAAAAUGUGCGUAAUUUUUUUCAGAGUUUUGACUGGUUUGGCCAGUAGAAAUUCAUCGGUAAGUGAAUCUAUUGGUUCCUUAUGUUUAUGUUAGAAUUUUUUGAGUAGAAUCUUGAGUAAAUUAUAAAAUAAUUUGGAAUUUAGUUACUGCAGUAGCAUCCAUUAAGCUUCCAGGUUCUUGAACUGAAAGCUGAUUUGGACUGCAAUGAAAUAGUACAUUCCGUUAAAUAAUAUUUGACUUGGAUUGCUGGAUUUAACUAUGAUAAUCUGCUAUGUGGUCUACUGAAUUAAUGUAACACUUUGGAUUCAUGUAUAUCAUAAGACAUAUAUGAAAAAAAUUAAUUGAUUUAUCCUCAAGGUGCAGUAGUAUUCAUCUCUAUAGUUCAAUAUAUUAUGAAAACACCGCUUUUGGAGAAUUCUAUUUUAAAUAUGUUUGUUUUUAUUUUUAGAAAAUUUAAGUUCAUUAAAAUAUGUUUGUGAAUGUCCAUACCAAAUGAACAAGUGAGUUAUUUGAGAUUAUAAUCACUGAAAAUACUCCUAACCAAGAAAUGGAUAUGCUUGAAAAUGUAACAUGUUCUACUGAUAUGAGAACCAGAAAAGAACUUUAAGGCAUAUUUUGAGAGCCUGUACCUAUCCAUAUUAAUCAAUGUUAUCCUUAAUGAAUAAUUAUUUCCAGUUAGGAACAACAAUUUAAACUGUUACAUAGUAUUUAAUCUGUAUAAUAAACCUGUCAUUAUUAAAAUAAGAAAGUGGUAUAUGGAUGGUGAAUAGAAAACAGGUUUCCUCUUUCCAACAAAGAUCAAAAAAUUAUUUAAAGUAUAUUGGUUUAAAGAAACACAGGUCUCAGACAGACCUGGAUCUUGCCUCACAUUCUCAACCCACUUCUUACUCUGCUCAUCAUCCUGUCAGGAUGUCUCACUUCUAGGGUCCUUAAUUGUUAACUUUAGUAACUCUCUAACUUUUAAACACACAGUCAACUUUCUUCUGAAUACUGCGAAAAUCUUCAUCUAUAUUUAUCAUAGCUUAUCUCCAUCUCUGAUCAAUGAUAAGUGAAAAGAUAUUUGAUGUGAAGUGAUUGAAUAUAAUGUCCAUGGACUUUUGAUUCUAUGUGGAAGUUUUAUGAUAUGACACAGAAGCUGUCAUAUGUUUUUGCACCAGAGUGAAGCCACUACUGGGAUGAGUAAAGUGUGCUGAAAGCUGUAGCAUAAGAUGGGCAUUCCAAGGUUUAACAAAAAACUAACUACCCAUGAUUAGCAAUAAAGACAUUGAAGCUUGAAGCAAAAGUCUCUUCUAGGUUUAUAUGAAACACACAGAACAUCCAAACAGAACACAAAUGAUGCUAUUGGACAUCUGUCCAGGUUUAAUAGCAUUCUUUAGUAAGAUGGAGUUGAAAAUUUAUUCAGAAUCCACUGUGUAUUUUCUUAGAUCAUUGUAUGUUACAAAGGACAAUCUAAAUGUAAUUCUCAUUGCAGAAAUGUUCACUUCCUGUAAAUGCAUAUUGUUUUAAUCUUCAUAAAACUCAUGUCAGAGUCCUUGUAGGUAUAUUUUAAAAAAUAUAUCUGAAGUCUGUGGAUCCUAGUUGAUUGUUAAUGUUAAGAUUACCCAGAAAAUUCUGUUCGGAUAAAGCUUAUUAAUAUCUCAGUAGGCUUCUCAUUACAGCUAUGCAUUCUUUGGAAAUAUAAGAAGAUCCCAUAUGCAACUUAGAUUUUUAUGCUAUAGUCAUUAUUAGAGUGCCCAGGCUAUGUUUCUCAAAAUGGGAUACACACAUAUACCCCUGUUCUGUUUCAAAUUCAAAGUGAAUUUAACUCACAAUAAAUUACUGAUUUCUGCAGUAGUACAUGGAGGCGUGUCAGGGGGAUAUGAGAGAAUAAAACUGACAUCACUGUGAAGCAUCAUUUUUAAUUGAAAAUUUGGGGAACAAACAUUUCAAAAUUAAAACUAUUAAAGGUUAAUUGUAGAAUAUAUUUUGAAUUCCACAUGAAUUUUCAGAUAAAGCAAGAGAAAAAAUUGUGCUAAUGGCCACCUGCUUUGAACUACUCCUCUAGACCUCCCAGGGCUUAGCGUCAAUCUUUCCUUUAGAGGUCCUUUGGCAGAAAGUUUUAGGAGCACUACAUGGCAGUUUUUAAAUGUACAUAAGGUCCUUAUUUUCCAUACUUCAAAAGGGGAGAUGAAGAAAAGGACUGGACUUAAACAAAACACCCACCUUAUUGGGAAAACAGUUUUCAAUCUCGAGUUUCUCAGUAUCUGCAAUAACUUCUCCAUUAGGUAAAAUAGUAUAAAUAAGCAACUGGGCUGUAGGAGCAAUGUCUGAUUCCACUUGAAAGGAGAAGGAAAAUACCCCUUUCACUGGAGAGUAAAGAAAGUUCAAGAUCAUAGAUUAGGAAGAGGGAAGAGUUUCAAUUUUAUAAAGAAGAGGUUCUCAAAUUAUUUAACUUAUUUACAUUUGGAGCAUAUUGAAGUAAGACUUGCAUUUAUACCAUUUUGUGUGCAUUAGUAUUCAAUAAAUAUAUGCUGAACUAAUGACAUUUUCCCUUAAAGAUGUAGGUUAAAUUGUUCAUUUCCUCUGCGGAAGUAGAAAAGAACAUUUAGUGAAUGUCUCUAUUUUUAAAUUUAAAAAAAGACGUUAAAAAUUCAAGAGAGAAGAACUUUUAGACACCUUUAAUGAUCUCUAUCUAUGAUCCAGUCAGCACAGUUCUUGUCAUAUGCAUGAGGCCAAGUCAAAGAAUGCAGCAUAGUCUCUACCUUCAGGCCAUUUAAAACACAGCCGAGAUACAGGUACAAAUAAUCACAUACAAAACAGUAUGCCUCCGAUUUUUAUAAAAGAAUUCAAUGCAUUUAUCUUAGUGGUUACUUUCUGUGUGAAUUACAUAGUGUUUAAUUCAUGUAUCUGCUUAAUCUUCUCAAAAAUGUUCUGUUUUAUCUUUGUAGCAUAAAUUUCUUUAAAAACUAUAGCCUUCCUGUAUCUAUAGAAGAUCUGAGGGCAGCUUGUGGUGAAAAUACACAAAAACAGCAGGGUCAAAAUAAAUUUGAAACAAUGAUACUGAAACCAUAUGAAAUCGGACUUCUCAAGCAGGGUUAAACAGAGGCAGGAAUAAAUUUUAUUAAGAAGCUAUAACAGGGCUUCCCUGGUGGCUCAGUGGUUAAGAAUCCACCUGCCAAUUCAGGGAACAUGGGUUCGAGCCCUGAUCUCGGAAGAUCCCACAUGCCGCAGAGCAACUAAGCCUGUGCGCCACCACUACUGAGCCUGCGCUCUAGAGCCCAUGAGGCACAACUACUGAAGCCCGCGCGCCUAGAGCCCGUGCUCCACAGUAAGAGAAGCCACCGCAAUGAGCAGCCCGCACACCGCAAUGAAGAGUAGCCCCCGCUCACCGCAACUAGAGAAAGACCAUGCGCAGCAAUGAAGAACCAAUGCAGCCAAAAAUAAAUAAAUAAAUAAAAAUAAAGUUCCCUUUAAAAAAAAAAA